GGCAGCUCCGCUGUACUUAAUGGGAGGAAAACUUGCCCUUGGGGAUGCACCCCAGCUCAUUCACCAGCGCCCUUUCACACUCACUAACAAACCACAGGGACAAAGGGAGUGAAGGCAAGCAGAGAAUUAAUUUAUAUGUGGGAGAACUCCUUUCUUCCAAGAGUACAUGUUUUAGAGAGUUUUUUGUGGAAAUACCGGAUUCUCUUUUUCCUGUUUCAGUAUUUCCCCUCUUCACCUGGCUGUUCUCAGUAGUGGAGCUGGCAUGGCUGAGAGUGAACAUAGUUAAUUCUCUUUUAGAGAGCCUAAACAGGAUGAAGACAAGGGAGCAAAUUUGGAAGGCAGAGAACACAUACUUGAAACCUCAAAGAAAACAAAAAUAGUCAAAAAUUCUUGCAAGCUAACAAGAAGUAAGUUUACUACAGGUACAUCCUUAAUGCAUCUCACAUCUAGAAAACUGCAGUUAGAGCACUCCUAGGUAAUAACAUUUGCUGAAGAAAUGUUUCCCUGAAAUCUUUGCACUGGGUGCCAAGCUGUCACAGGUCUGCUCUAACUGCAUAAAGGCACAGAGGCAUCGUCAUACAAGUUUCCUCAUACUACUUGAGACUGCAAAAAGAUUAAAUUCUGCUCCCCCAAAGCUGCUUGAGUGAACUCCCUUUCUGCUUGCAGAAACCUUGUCAAGAUGAGGUUAACUUUCUUUUUUGCUUUCAGACAUUUUGCAUUUCUAUCUUGCACUUUAUCACUGUGUGUUUG